rnacentral:rRNA from 1 species
CCUGGAAACAGAUGCUAAUACCGGAUAACAAUAGAUGAUGCCUAUCAACUGUUUAAAAGAUGGUUCUGCUAUCACUCUUGGAUGGACCUGCGGUGCAUUAGCUAGUUGGUAGGGUAACGGCCUACCAAGGCGAUGAUGCAUAGCCGAGUUGAGAGACUGAUCGGCCACAUUGGGACUGAGACACGGCCCAAACUCCUACGGGAGGCAGCAGGG